rnacentral:lncRNA from 1 species
UGGUGACUCCGUCGCAUCAUUCGUCCUAUGAUCUAGAGGAGAAGAUGGCAACAGAGGAAGAAGAGGCAACAUCUGAAGAGCAUGACUGUGUGGAGUUGAUCAACAUCGAGGACUCCAUUGAGGUUGUCAACCUCUCCUCCGACUCUGAGAUGGAGGAGGACCCAAGCGAGUGUUCCAACACACCCGCAGACGUUGGGGCUAGCCGCUAAGAACUAUUUCCAUUUCUAUUUUGCUUUUUGAUUUGAGUACCUGUGUAGGGUAUUUAUUUUCUGAUUAGUUUUAUUUGGGGCAACGAUUAGGAUUCCGCCUUGUAUUUCGUACCAAUAUUUGCUAAUAUUCUAAUGAAGUAUUAUUCGAAGUUAUAUUGAGUUAUUUUUUGUUACCAUUAGGUAAUGGUUUUUUAUUUUCUGCAUUGUAUGUUACUUAAAGUGAUGUUCCAAAAAUGAAACGAAUAUAAGAAAAUAAAUUUUAUAUGGCUUCCUCAUUAAAAAAAAUUUACCCAUUUUUGAGCAAGAUUUUUGAAGUAAUUUUUGGGGCGUUACAAUUGAUAUGGACAACUGGAGUUUUGAUAGGAAGAGACUUUUUCAGACUAGUCCCUGCUUGAGCUGAGGUUGGUUACUGUGUAUCAUCAUGUGCAGUUGCUUUAGCCCAUUUUGUCUCAGGUGAAAACAAGAACUCCAUAUUAUUAGGAUCCUCUCUAUCUUCAUGAACUACAUGAGUUUCAACCGUGAUUGCCUUCUGCCCAGUCAAACCAUAGUGCUCUUAAAAUCAAUCUUCAAUUGAUAAACCCUUAGAAAUGAAAUCAUGAAAUGCAUGCAGAAAAAAUGAUUUUUAGGGAUACUUGGUAUGUAUGAAGUGAACUUUUUUCUUUUUAUUUUUUUUAUCAUAUUAUAUCGACUGAAACAUAAUCUAUUACUCAAAAUGAUACAUGAAAUGCAAUUGAUGUAGACCUUGAGCUAUAUUUAGUGUGAACACUCAAUUUGAUCCGGUUUAGAUAUAUAACUACAAAACUCUCAAAAUAACAAAUAACAAAAACAGAAAUAACUUUUUGGAUAUGGAGAAAUAGUAGCAAAAAAACAUACUAUUUCAUGGUCUAAAUUGCUUUUAAAUUAUUUUUUUGCUUACAAUAUUUGAAAAAAAAACUAUGGACAAUCUCAAUCUUAUACAAAAGUAGUAUUUCGUUAAAAUCAUUUUUUUACCAAGAAAAGCAUUUUCAUUAUUAAUUUGUCCAACGAAAGCAUGCCAUUUAUCAACAAUUUUAGCAUUCCAUUAACUUUCUGAAAAUUGAUGACUACAACUACACAUGUGGGCUGAGGCUAUUGAUUCGGAUAUUUGGGAAUCCGUAAUCAGUGGCCCCUUUGUCCCACUACACUUAGUGGAUGACGAACCGAAAGAAAAGCCAAAAAGCUUAUGGACCGAUGAGGAGCGCAAGAAGGUCCAGUUCAACCUUCGUGCCAAAAGCAUCAUUACAUCGGCCUUAUCCUACGAUGAAUUCUUUCGGGUGUCUCAAUGUCAAAGUGCCAAGGAAAUGUGGGACACUUUACAAGUGACUCACGAAGGCACUAGCGAAGUCAAGCGCGCCCGGCUAAACGCGCUAACUCACGAAUGCGAAUUAUUUCGUAUUCUACCGAGUGAAUCAAUCCGCGAUAUGCAAAAAUGAUUCACUCACAUUUUUAACCAUCUUAUUACUUUAGAUAAGAUGUUCACCAAAUGAGAGCUCACUAAUAAAGUCUUACGUUGUCUUGAUAGGAGAUGGCAACCUAAAGUGACAGCAAUCAUGGAGUCCAAGGAUCUAGACUCCUUGCCUUUGGAAACACUCUUUGGAAAGCUUCAGAAGCAUGAGAUGGAGCUUGGACGUUUGACAAUGCAUGAGGAGUCCGAUCGCAAAAAGAAGGGAAUAUCUCUUAAAGCUUCAAUAUCACAACCCCUUGAAGAGAUAGAUAAUGACGACUCUGAUUCAGACAUUGACGAGGAAACACUAAACCUCCUUGUACAAAAAUUUGGAAAUUUCUUAAAGAAGAAAGGAGGACUCAGACGAUUCCAAAGUAAAGAAGCGCGUGAAUCAACAAAGAAAGGCAAGACAAACGAGCGCUUCACUUGCCAUGAAUGUGGUAAGCCAGGACACAUGAAGUAUUAGUGCCCCACUUACUUAAAAAGAGUUGAUUCAGAGAAGAGCACUCCACGGGACUUCAAGUCAAAGAAAGCAUACAUCGUAUGGGAUGUACUGGAGGAAGAAACAACAUCAAGCACCGCAGAUGAAGAGGAGACCGCAAAGUUGUCCUUAAUGGCGAUAUCAGAUGAUGCUUGCGGAUUAGGUAGCAAGGAUACUUCAGAUGAGGUAUACUCUGACACAUAAUCUUCUUCUUAUGAUUCUCCCUCAUGAAAUAUUAUAUAGUGCUUAUGUUGAGAUGCAUGAAGAACUUAAAAAAUUAGCAAAGUUGAAUAAGGAGAGAGAAAAAAUAAUUUUGCUAAACCAACAAAAAAUAAUUCAACUACAGAAAGAAUUAGAUGAAUUAAGAUUGGAAAGAGAAACAUUAGAUCUAAUUUUUUCCUAUGCUUCAUGCGAUUGCUCAAAUAAUAACUUAUGUCAAAAUAAUACUUGUGAGUCUUGCGAGGACUCGAAAAACGAAAAUUUUAAACUGAAUGAAAAACUCGCAAAAUUCACAAAUAGUAAAAACUAAUUAGACACUAUGCUUAGCAAAACAAGGAACAUUAGUGACCAUAUUGGAUUAGGGUAUGUUCCACCAUCCCAUAAAAAAAGACUAUAUAGGAGACCUCUAACACACCAAUAUAGAAAUUCAAAUAAGAAAAAUAGAGUUCCUACAUAUCAUUACUGUGGCACAUAUGGCCAUACAACUCAUUCCUGUUACAUAAGGAAAUAUGGGAUACCUAGUGGCGUUUACACUUGGGUAAGAAAGGGAGAUAAUUCCCUAGUCACUAACAAGAAAGGACCCAACAUAAUUUGGGUACCUGAGUCUAGCAGGUGAUCUAUAUUGCAGGUAUGUCUUCGAACAUACAGACAAAAUUGGUAUCUUGAUAGCGGUUGUUCGAGACAUAUGAUUGGGGACAAGUCAAAAUUCCUAGACUUGUCGUUGAAAGAAAAGGGAUUCGUCACCUAUGGAGACAACAACAAAGGAAGAAUCUUGGGCAUUGGGAAGAUUGCCAACUCAACCCACACAAUAAUCGAGAACGUUCUUUACGUAGAAGGUUUGGAACACAAUUUGUUGAGCAUAAGCCAAUUAUGCGACAAAAGUAACAUUGUGUCUUUUGAUUCUGACUGUUGUAUCAUUCGUGAUGUAUUAUCUAAUAACUUUAAGUUUGUCGGGUAUCGGGUAAAUAAUAUUUAUAUGGUUAAUCUAGAUGAUGUCACUACUCUUUUCUCAAAAUGUCUUAUUUCAAAAGAAGAUGACAUCUGGCUUUGGCAUAGACGCGUCGCUCACAUACAUGUGAAACAUUUAGAAAAAUUAUCGAAAAAUAAUUCAGUAAUCAGUCUUCCAAAACUCGUUUUUAAAACUCAAGAUUUCGGUGACAUGUGUCAGAAAUGUAAACAAGUCAGGAAUUCAUUUAAUAAAAAGAAUGUGAUAUCCACUACUAGACCAUUGGAGCUUCUCCAUAUGGACUUGUUUGGACCAUCACAAAUUAUGAGUUUUGGUGGGAGCUAUUACGCCUUAGUUAUUGUCUAGCCAAGCAAAUCCAAAACAUGGUAUUAUUUACAUUCGAUCCGACCAUCGAGGAGCGAUGCUUGUAAAUCUUUUAAAUGUCUAGCCAAGCAAAUCCAAAACCAGUCUAACCUAAAGAUUAUUUACAACGACCAUGGCGGAGAAUUUGAAAAUCAUAAAUUUAAUAAGUUCUAUAAUAAACAUGGUAUUAUGUAUCAGUUCUCAGCUCCUCGUACCCCUCAACAAAAUGGAGUUGUUGAGAGGAAAAAUAGAGUUCUAGAGGAACUCGCAAGGACUAUACUAAAUAAAAGCAAGGUCCCAAAGUAUUUCUGGGUUGAUCCAGUUCACACAACAUUACAUAGCAAGGCAUUCCGUGUGUUUAAUAAAUAUAUCAUGCAGUAUUUCUGGGUUGAUCCAGUUCACACAACAUUACAUAGCAAGGCAUUCCGUGUGUUUAAUAAAUAUACCAUGCAAGUAGAAGAGUCUAUUCAUGUCCAUUUUGACGAAUCUUCUCCAAAAGAGAAGAGAAACGUCUUUUCUGAUGAUGUUUCAGGUACACUUGAAGAAAUACCAUACCAGGACAUGGAAGAAAUCCAACAAGAAGUAGAGCAAACAGUAGCAGAGCAACAUCAGGAAAUGCCUAUCGCGUGGAAAACUAAAAAUGAUCAUCCACUCGAUAAGGUGCUAGGUCAUAUAUCUACGGGAGUGGUAACCCGUAGCUCUUUAUGAAACUUUUGUAAUUUUGUUGCAUUUGUGUCUCAAUUAGAGCCUAAGACCAUCGAUGAAGCCAUCGAGGAUGUACACUAGGGUAUAGCUAUACAAGAAGAGCUAAACCAGUUCGAGCGAAACAANNNNNNNNNNNNNNNNNNNNNNNNNNNNNNNNNNNNNNNNNNNNNNNNNNNNNNNNNNNNNNNNNNNNNNNNNNNNNNNNNNNNNNNNNNNNNNNNNNNNCUGUAGCCAGACUUGAGGCCAUUAGGAUGCUCUUGUCAUUUGCAUCAAUCAUGAACUUUAAACUUUUUCAAAUGGAGGUUAAAAGCGCUUUUUUAAAUGGAUAUAUUCAAGAGGAGGUGUACGUAGACCAACCACCAGGUUUUGAAAACUUCAAAUACCUGAACCAUAUAUAUAAACUCAAGAAGGCCCUCUAUGGCCUAAAACAGGCUCCUAGAGCCUGGUACGAUAGAUUGAGUUCGUUCCUUCUAGAAAAAAGGUUCGAUAAAGGUUUGGUCGACACCACUCUCUUCAUCCGUAGAUCCGAUAAUCAUGUUUUACUCGUACAAAUAUAUGUUGAUGAUAUUAUCUAUGGAUCUACUAAUGACAUCAUUUGUAAGGAGUUUUCUGAGUUGAUGUAGAGGGAGUUUCAAAUGUCGAUGAUGGGUGAGCUGACCUUCUUUCUUGGACUUCAAAUCAAACAAAUGGAAAGUGGCAUCUUCAUCCAUCAGUCGAAGUAUUGCAAGGAAUUAUUGAAGAAGUUCGAUAUGGAGCAGUGUAAGGACGAAUCUACACCUAUGGCAUUUGCAUGUUAUCUGGACAAAGAUGAAAAGGGAAAAACGAUUGAAGUAACUAAAUAUCGUUGGAUAAUCGGCUCCUUAUUGUAUUUAACUACUAGUCACCCCAAUAUUAUGUUUAGCGUUUGUAUGUAUGCUAGGUUUCAAGCUUUGCCAAAAGAAUCGAAUUAUAUUGCUGUAAAACGUAUCAUGAGAUAUCUAAAAGGAACUAUUCAUAUGGGAUUAUGGUAUCCUAGGGAUGCCUCCCUAUCAUUGGUAGGUUAUACCGAUUCCGACUUCGCUAGGUGUAACUUUGAUCAUAAAAGCACUAGUGAGACUUGUCACCUAUUAGACAGCUCCCUAGUUGCAUGGGACAACAAAAAGCAAGCGCGUGUUGCUUUGUCCACCGCUGAAGCGGAAUACAUUGUCGUUAGCAAGUGUUGCACUCAAAUCCUUAGGAUGAAGCAACAACUUAUGGAGUUUGGGCUCAUAUUAGAAAAGAUCCCUAUUAAAUGUGAUAACACGAGUGCCAUUAACCUCUCAAAAAAUCUCGUCUUGCAUUCUAGAACUAAGCAUAUUGAAAUAAGGCAUCAUUUCUUGCAUGAUCAUGUUCAAAAAGGUGAUUGUAUAUUAGAAUUUGUUUAAACAACUAAACAAUUGGCAGAUAUUUUCACCAAACCCCUCUCACGAGAUACUUUCUAUGUUCUUCGAAGAGAACUAGGAAUCCUUGAUGAAAAAUAUCUUGAUUAAUAAUUUUGUGAUUGCCUUGCAUGAUCCCUUUGACUGAUUUGAAAAUGAUGAUUGAAUGCUUAUGAUUCCUUGCAUAAUCCAUGAUUCUGUGCUUAAAAGCUUUAAAUAUAUGUGAUAGCUUAAAAUUAAAUUAUCCAAUUAAGUUUGAAAUUCAUGCAUGCUUUUAAAAAACAUCCAAAACGCUGAAACUAGUGCAUUUAAUCGAUUAAGUAAAUCAAUUAAUCGAUUAAGUAAAUCAAUUAAUCGAUUAAGUAAAUUAAUUAAUCGAUUACCUAGGCCAAAACUUUUAAAACUGGCAUUUUCAACUCAUGUUAAUCGAUUAAAAGAUGCUGUUAAUCGAUUAACGACAUCAAUAUAUCAGAAACAGAAGCGUUUCUGGACAUUUUUCAAAACCCCAGUCAUCCCUUUUUCUCUCAAAUCUCAGAGGAACAAGUCCAACAUCAUCCUAAGCUUCAUCCUAGCCCUAAACAGAACUACCUCACUGCAUUUCCACUCCAUAUACCGUCUUCCUCAUCUCCUAUUUCCAAGCAUUUCGUUUUCCCCAAAUUCAAAACCUUGCCCUAGGUUUCCCUCAACCUUCCUCUAAACAUCCAUCACGAUUCAGUGUUUGAUUGUUAUGGAUAGAAGACGUCGAAAGAGAAUCAAGACAACCGCACAACGUCCACCGCGUGUUCCAAAAAUCGUGCUCCUCCACAACCAAGGCAGAUCCGCGGGGACCCAUACUACUCAUUAAUUCAUAUCCCGGGUUAUUGACUAUCUACAUAUUGAUAUUUCGAAUACUAUAGUGAUGGAUUGCUCAGACAAGAAUCACUUGAUUGGUGAGAAUUUAAUUCACAAGAUGGACAUCUACAAGUAUGGCAAUACUUGGCAAUAUCAAGAGGACUUCAACAAUGCUAACCUUGAUCCUUCCGGUGAAGAUGAUGAAGACAUGAACCAAGAGCCAUUUGCUACAACUCAUGGGGAGCAUUCAGGACAUGCAUCACAGGAAUCCACUUUUGGACAAGCUUAUAUAGAUGCUAUGGAACAACGUCUCAAUAAUAUGAUGGACCUUCACUUUUAGUCUCUUAAGGAUUCAUAUCAUACGGAUUUGGAGCAUUUUGAAGAACGUCACAAUGCAUACAUUGACAACCAUUACCAAUCCUUGCAAAAUUAUAUUCAGUCUACUACUGAUUCUCAGAAUAGAAGAAUGGUUGUUGAGUUCAACAAGCUGAGUGUCUUCAUCAAGGGUGGUUGUAGCUCGUCAAUUCCUGACAACCAGAAUCCUCCAUCUUAUCCUUAGAUAGGAAACCUUAGAGUCUUAGUUUAGUCUUCCUAGCUAAUGGACCAUGUUGAUCCUUGUUUCCUCUUGAGAUCUUAUGUUUUGUAUUGCAUUGUUGUUUUUAUUUGGAUUGUAACAACUCUAUAUCUACUACUGAACUUCUGUUUUACAUUUUGUGGUAAAAUGAUUUCGAAUUAUUGCGUUUAUACUUGAUUGUUAAUUAUGUUGCAUAUAGCACUUUACUUUAUUUGAAAUGAAUCUUGAUCAUGAUUGGUAUGUGUGAUUAUAUUGAAUGAUUGUGCCUAUUGCAAACUGCUCAAAUAUAUCAAAUGCUUAAUUAUUUCGUGCUUGAUUUGCUUCUGCAUAACCUUUCAUGUCAUUCAAAUUGUUCUGUGGCUAUCUGCUGUCAAGUUAAUCGAUUAACGGUUUCACUUAAUCGAUUAAAUGAUGUAAAACUGUGAAUUUGUUCAAGCUUCUUUACAGUUGGUUAAUUAGUUACAUACCCAAGUUUAAUUGAUUAAUUACAGUAUGUCAUAACCAUAAUAACUCUCCUAACUUUUGACUAGAAUUGAAUAUGUUUAUCUUUUUUAUAAUGUCAAAAGGGGGAGAAAUGUUGUUUGUUGUGUUACAUACAUUUUGCAGGUUGUUGUAUAAAGUUUUUUGCAGGUUGUUCUAUCAAGCUUCCGUACAUAAUUUUGCUUACCUACAAGGAAGCAAUGCGCUUUAACUUUGUUCUUAGAAAAACAACCUUAGUCAACUAUUCUGCAAAAUCAUCAUCAAGCUUAUCCAUCAACAACUGAAGAAUUUUGAUGAAGUGUUUGUCAUCAUCAAAAAGAGAAAGAUUGAAAGUGCAAAGUGUCAAGGAUAGCACUAACAUGUCUUUGCCUAUGUUUUGAUGAAGAUAAGGUUCUAACAAAGCUUGAAGAUGACUCAACAAUCAACAUGUCUUAUGCUCAUUUGGUCAUAUCUAGACUAUGGUGUAAAUUGAGUCUAUAAUCUAAGUAGUAUGAGAUGUGUGUCGUAGUAAGUGAGUAUAGGUUAGGUGAACCUAGGUGCUAGUCUCUUAACCAAUCUUAAUUGUCAUAUCAUAUUCAUGAGACAUAUUAUCUAGUUCAUUAUAUGUUCGUGCAUAUAUCAUACAUGUUAUAUGUGCAUAUUAGGCAUAAUAUAAUUGGUAAAACAUGUNNNNNNNNNNNNNNNNNNNNNNNNNNNNNNNNNNNNNNNNNNNNNNNNNNNNNNNNNNNNNNNNNNNNNNNNNNNNNNNNNNNNNNNNNNNNNNNNNNNNUAUAACUGAAAUCUGUUUUAACUGUUUUGCAACGAAUGUAACCGCAUAUUCUCUAUGCUAAAUACAAGACAUUGUUCAGAAAACCAUAGCAUUGCAUUCUAUUGUAUAUGGUUGUUUAGAGAGCAUUUUGCAUACGUGUUUUACUGUGUUUUUUCAAGAGAGUUGCAUGUGUGAGAAGAGAGAUUAUGAUGGUUUAAUUGCUAUUAUAUGUUUAUUGUUUCUGCAUAAUUUUGUAUUCAUUCUUAUCUUGCUCACAUGCUCAUGCAUUAGAUUUUGUUAGAGAGAAAUUAUUUGUAUACUAAUAUUGAUUAACUCAUUUGAAUCUUGAUGGCUUAAGUGGUUAGUAAAAGGGUUAAGGAAUCUUGAUGGCUUAAGUGGUUAGUAAACGAGUUAAUCUUUGAGUCUUUAUCUUGUCAUAUUUUAAGAAUUAUUGUGCUUAGUAUACCUUGUUGUUUAACGAGUUUUUGCGUACUCUGGAUUUGUCUCUUGGUGUGAGAUCACCACAGAGAUUGAGGUUCUUCACCAAGGCUAGGAGGUCUUGAUUUGAGGAUAAGAAUCUUGGCUCAGGCUAGUUCGCGAGAAAUAUUUUCUCAGAGGCGAAGGGUAGAGUCAAACCAAAGAUUUAGAGGUCCUAGAUUUCAAGAAGGGAACAUCAUAUGUGCUUGUAAUUGAAUUGGUAUUUGUAUCCAUAUUUCAAUAUUGUAAAGAAAGAAAAUCCCCCUGAUCCAGAAGGGGAGACCUGGAUGUAGUUUGCAGUGGACCGCAAACGAACCAGGAUAAAAAUCCUUUGUGCAUUGUUCUUUCUCUCUUUAUCUUCUUUAUGUUUCUUGCCAUUAUAAAUUGAAUCUGUAUUAUAAAUGAAAUCUAUAAUUGAAAAGUUGGAUAUUUGUUUACUGUCAUAUACUUAAUAAUUGUGCGUAAAAAUAUAUGUAUUAUAUCUCUUCAAUUUUGUUUUUAAUUACUGUGCAAAUUUCAUGUCUGAUCAUUCUGUUCUGCGCAAUAGUUAAUCGAUUAAAUCUUGCCGUUAAUCGAUUAACUGGGUUGUUUCCAGCAGUUGGGUUUUAGUUCAAGAAGCGGUGAUUGAUAACCGCUACACCUAUUCAACCUCCCUUCUAGGUGUUCCUAGGCCACUAAUACCUAACACAACUAACUUUGGGAACCCUGCAAUUGAUAAUAGAUGCAAAAUAUUAGUGAUGGUUGUUAUGGAGAUUAAAGGCCUACAAUGAUUGAUCCAUCAUCCUUAAUUUAGAUGUUACAAUUAGAGCAAUAAUGAACCACCAAAAGCAAUCAGGAAUCGCUAGAAAGGCAAGCAUCUAAACAUCAGAGCACUUAUGGGAUUAAUCUAAUGAGAACGAGCCGUUGAUCAUAAAAAGGGAUAUCAACAGAUGCAAAUCAGAUUUGGUAUUGUAUCAGAUACUAUAUGGCAGCUUCAAUGCAUUGAAUCAGGAAAUCAGCAGGUCAUGGCAUGUUACAUAUUGUUGGUAAGUCAGAAAGUUUUCACAAACCAGCUAUAAAAACCCAUUCCGAGCACAGUGAAAAAGGGAUUACACAUACAUAACGAUAAGAAAAAUCAAAGAGCAAAAGAAAGAGAUUUUCAUCGCAGAAAAAGCAUAUAAGAGGUAGAGGUAUUCUGAAAAGGCAGGAAGUACCACUUUGCAUACAGGGUAAAAGGGAGCAUUGGGCCAAUCAACUAAAAAGGGAAGGCUAAAAAGGAUAAAGGGAGAGACUUUUGUACAAUACUCCUACUACACCCAUCCCAGUGUCAACGGUCCUAACAUGUAUUGUAGUGUCUGGUUCCUCUGAUUUUAAGACCUAAUCUUAUAAACUGAAUGGUUUCUAAUUAUGAACAGUAAGAGUAGUUACAAUAUACAAAAGCUUGUUUAACUUUAAUCCCUUGAUGUAAAGGUGUGGAACCUCCUUGUAUGUGAUGUUUAUUACCGCUAAUAGGGGUUUGAAUUUAUCUUCAUCAUUAUGCCAUUAAUAAACACGUUAGGAUAAGUUGAGAAAUUUCUCAACAAGGUUCCAUAAAAAAAACUCUUUAAGUAAGUCACGUCAUACCUUUCUUUUACCACACAAUGAUCAAAUAAAAUCCACACAGUUUUUAUCCAUAUUCGGAAGCUUGAUAAUUAAUUAGCCUCAAGAGUAAGACUCUUACCCUACAGCGGUGGAUUGAGCCACCGUUGAGCCUCCUUGGCUGUCCCGGUGUGACCAUACAUCACCACGCCAAUGGCCAGGACCUCCGUCGAGUUGGUAUCACAAUGAGAAGAUGAAGAAGGCGACCAUAUUUUUCUCUCCAACCAGUUUUGAAUGCACGGAAGCUAGAACUUCCCCUUCGGCGUUAUCUUCCAUCACCCAACUGAACCACCAUAACGACCAUGAUUCCGCUUUCACCAAAUCAAACGACCAUAAACCACCGAGAGUGGGAACCGAACCACCAUAAGCCACCUAGAACGGCACAAUCUCAGCCAUCGCGAGCUACCGCAACUCGUCACAAACCGUCACCAUCGCCGUCGAAGGAGUGAAGAAGAAGGGAGGCUAGGGAUUGAAAUCCCCUUUCUAAUUUGAGGGUCAAAAACCCGUAUGGGGUUACCCUCUCUUACUUCUUUAUUUCACUUACCCUUUAUUCAUUUACUUACACUUUUGUUUUUUU